GACGAACGCUGGCGGCGUGCCUAACACAUGCAAGUCGAGCGAGUGAAUCUCCUUCGGGAGUGAAACUAGCGGCGGACGGGUGAGUAACACAUGGGCAACCUGCCUCAUAGAGAGGAAUAGCCUUUCGAAAGGAAGAUUAAUACCGCAUAAGAUUGUAGCUUCGCAUGAAGUAGCAAUUAAAGGAGUAAUCCGCUAUGAGAUGGGCCCGCGGCGCAUUAUCUAGUUGGUGAGGUAACGGCUCACCAAGGCGACGAUGCGUAGCCGACCUGAGAGGGUGAUCGGCCACAUUGGGACUGAGACACGGCCCAGACUCCUACGGGAGGCAGCAGUGGGGAAUAUUGCACAAUGGGGGAAACCCUGAUGCAGCAACGCCGCGUGAGUGAUGACGGCCUUCGGGUUGUAAAGCUCUGUCUUCAGGGACGAUAAUGACGGUACCUGAGGAGGAAGCCACGGCUAACUACGUGCCAGCCGCCGCUGUAAUAC
rnacentral:rRNA from 1 species